GAUGAACGCUAGCGAUAGGCUUAACACAUGCAAGUCGAGGGGCAGCAUGGUCUUAGCUUGCUAAGACUGAUGGCGACCGGCGCACGGGUGCGUAACGCGUAUGCAACUUGCCUCACAGAGGGGGAUAACCCGUCGAAAGACGGACUAAUACCGCGUACACUCCAUCUUGGGCAUCCAAGGUAGAGGAAAUGAAAUUCGCUGUGAGAUAGGCAUGCGUCCCAUUAGCUAGUUGGUGAGGUAACGGCUCACCAAGGCGACGAUGGGUAGGGGAACUGAGAGGUUGAACCCCCACACUGGUACUGAGACACGGACCAGACUCCUACGGGAGGCAGCAGUGAGGAAUAUUGGUCAAUGGGCGAGAGCCUGAACCAGCCAAGUCGCGUGAAGGAUGACGGUCUUAUGGAUUGUAAACUUCUUUUAUACGGGAAUAACAAGAGUCACGUGUGACUCCCUGCAUGUACCGUAUGAAUAAGCAUCGGCUAACUCCGU
rnacentral:rRNA from 1 species